AGACCUCCUUUGGCUGCUUGCAGUGGCUUUUAGUUUGGCAGCCAUCUCUGGUGGCCAGCUGAUGAAACCUGAUCUUGCCAUAAAUCAAAACUCCUUCGCAUUCAAAUGCAACAAUUAACUCUGGGUGUGUAGGUGCAAUUAGAUGACAAAUUAUGCCUCAAGAUUCACUUGCUUGUUUAGAUAGGGAAGCUGUGUUUGCUCAGCCGGGGAUGUUUGGCUAUGUCUUUCAAUCUACCCCAGGGGACGCAGAGUGAUAAACUCCGGGAGUUGCAUCCUGCUCCAGCUGCACAAUUCAGACCCUUUGGCCUCAGCUCCUUGCCCCAGAGACUGAAGUUUUGUCUGCUUGCUUGCACCAAGUGUCAAUGCUGUUCUCAAAUAACCCAGCUGAGCCCUCCUUUCUCCACGAUGUUUGCGCAAAAUUUAUUCUUGCUAUGCUCAAGCCUUGCAGAGGAGGAUUUGAGUCCCUCUGAAGGGAUGCCGCGGUAGCCUUCAGACCUGCAGCUCCCAUGCCUAUGUAGAAACCUUCUUAGAAAUCGUGGGUACCUCUUCUGGCCAAUUUGGUCUGUUGGAGACAGCAGGGCUGGUGCUAAAUAAAUGUGACACAAGCUGAAGCCCAGCAGCUAAUCGGCUGCUGGAUGUUGCUCCUGGCGAUGCUGGUGCCAAGGGAAGUCUCAUUCACAGGCAGUCCCUGAGCACGCCUGGAUGUGGGUUGGUGAGCUCUGCGGUGGGGAAGAGCCUUGUUAAUUAAAGCAAACCACGUUGCUGUGCUUGAACCGGAGUUUGCCUUGCUGAGAUGCAGUGGUUGCUGGAGCCAAGAUGCGAUCUUAGAUGCAUUGUUCUUUCCACGUAGAAGAGUAUUUGGGAGCUGGGUGGUACAGAAGGGAGGAGUAAACUUGAGCACAGGGAUGCUGCCUGCAGAGAGGCAGAGCUGAGCUGUGCUGUUAGCGAGGUUCAGCUGUGGCUUUUAGCUCAAAAUCCAAACAAAAUCAUAAAACAGACAAUGGGGCAAAACCAAGGACAAAGACGUAUGGAAAACAAGCCUGCUGAUGUCACUAGUGCUAAUAGGUGCAUAUUUACACACCACACUUAAAAGGGAGCCUUUAACUGCUGAUUAACUGUUCUUACAGGAUUUCUUUAUGAAACACCCGACAAAUAUUUUUUUAUGCCCUUGGAACAAAGCGAGCUGAUAGCAUUUAUAUCCUUUUCCUCUCCAAUGGCGAUUAGCACUGAUUAAAGAUACCAUAAUUCCUAUGAACUCUGAGCUUUACGCGGGGAGAGCAAUGGCUGUUGAUGUGGGAAAGCAAUCGGCACUUUGGAUAACUGGAUUAAAAAGUAAUGACUUCUAAAACAGCCAAGAAAAGGCUGGUUUGCUCCAGCUGACAUUGCUUUGGCAGGAAAAGGGCUGCCCCAGCACCAAAUUAAUACAGCUCUAGGGAUGGGGGAAAACUCCCGGCUGUUAAAAACUGAAAGAAUUAUUGGGGAAGGGGAAUUUAUUUGUUUUGUUUAUGGCCUUUUUAAAAGGCAAACUGUGUAGGACGUUUUGAGUUUGUUCUCGUCCAUUAUUUUUUUUUUUCUUGAGUCUGCACAAGAGGGCAUUAUACAAACCUGCAGCUGCACCUUGCUUGUGGGCAAAAGAGCUCUGGCUGGCUUGCCAAAUAGGAUUAAUGUCAAGCCAGCAGAGAAGGGCCUGUAUGCUGGAGGACACAUGCCAGAGGCUUUAUUUGGUUUGUUAGUGGUUAUUUUUUGGGGUGGCUUCUGAGCUGAGCUGGUUCCCAGCCCUCAUAUGUAGCCCUGCAGUUCUGCUGCAUGAGAAGGGUCCUUGAGGACUCGUCCCUUGUUCCUGCACCACCCCAAAGCACUGUGCUGGUUGUAGGCUGAGACCAGGCACUGAUGUUGGCAACCUUUUGCUUUGCAGUAAACCAGCCCAAAUCCUGAGCGUGCGUCUCUCCUGGACAGGAGCUUGGACACUGCAGAGGCCUCCAAGGGGCUGUGGUUUAACAAAGAUGUGUUUAAUUCCCUUCUUAUUUGCUAAGUCCUCGCAUCCUUGUUGCUCUCAACAGCUGUGCCUGGGAAACCCUUCUGGCUCCGGAGCUGACCUUUCCCAACAAAGCUGCCUUUGUCAGGCAGCCCUCUGGGCUGCAGGCUUUUUUAUUUUCCCUUCUUUACUUUAUUACUCUUUUUUUAAUGUCACCACCACCCAGAAACACAAGGACCCAUUAUAUGAACCGUGCCUGGACUUUGCUUGUUUGCAAGAGGGAGAUUAGGAACAAAUGGGCAGUGGUGGGCUGUAUCCUGGAAAGCGGAGGCCAAAGGUUUGAGUAAGAGGAAGCUUGGCAGUGGAAAGGCGGCCCUGAUCCAGCCGGCACUGAGCCUGUGCUCUCCGCAUGCCGGGUGUCAGCGCUGCAUCUUCCCUGUUCUAGCCAUGCACCCAUUGGGAUUUUGUGUGCUGCAGACUUGCUGGGAGCAACAAAGGCCAAGCAGGGCUCUGAUGGCUUCACAUGAACCUGACCCAACGUGCUCAUUCAGUGCUGGUCAACCCCAAACCAUCCCUGAUAAGUGCCCAGAAACCAAAAUACAAAUUAUGGCACCCGGUAUUCAGGCGGAGGCUGCUUUACCGAGCCAGGGUGAUGCCUGUUGACAACAGGAAGGGUGGCUGUCUGCCCCUGACGUCCAUGUGAGCUGUUUCCUGGCUCGUACCGAAAUGGCGCUGCAGCGGCUGUAGGCUGGGCAGAGGCUGAGUAGGAGGGGGAGGACUUGGAGCUUGUGUUUAAGAGGAGAUGGGUGCUGGCACAGGCAGUGCCAUGACUAAUGCCAGCACCCGUGCCAGCCUUUGCCACGUCUCUGUGCCGAGAGCUCACCUUUCCCGGUGGUGUUUCUGCACAUCAGCCGCAUGCGAUGCACUGGGAACUUUUUUUGUUGUUGUUGUUGAUUUAUUUGCAAGCCUUGGGCAGAGUCAUGCACAGAGAGAGGAUGUCUCUGUGCUGGCUUUUUGGUGGCUCACGCAGAUCCUGAAUUGGCUCCUGGAUGCUUGGUGCUCUGCAGCAAAGUGGUAGCAAUCCUCCUGGAGGGGACAUCUGCCGUCCCUUGCCACACGGACCUGCUGGUGUCAGUCUGUUGCAAUACUGCUGCAUUGCUGUGCUAUUCUGUGUGUUGUUAUUCUGGAUUUUUCAUCUGUCAUCCUCUUUUCAACAAGCAGGAUUGGGCACUUGUUCUCUUUUUUGUUGUUGUUUGUUUUGUUUUCUCCAAGUGAAAAAACAGCCUCGUGCUUUCUACUGUGAAGUCAGAAACUGUGGCUUUAAGCAAAGCAUCUAGAAUUGCAAAAUAAUCCACCCUGCCACCAGUCCAGCAGGGAUACACUCCCAAUUAACACCACAUUUUAUCCCUUUUCACCUGGGCAAUGUGUUGGAGAGAGCUGGGGCUGGCCCCUUGCAGGUGCCUCUUUGCAACCCACUGAAGAAUUCUGUUUGAGAUAUUGCCUCUGGGUCUCUCUUUCUUCAAGCACCUGGUCCCUCCCCUGCCUCUACAACAGCCUGGCAACUUGUGUUUCAGGGGUGUAAAAUGAUUCACAGACAGCUGCUGGAGACCUUCCUUGCAUAGACGGAAGGGCCUCUGAUGCAUAUAAACAUAAAAGGUUUCUGAGCUGUCACAACACGUGAAAAUAGCUGGGUUUUUGCUCCCUGCCAGAAAAAAGUCGGAAAUCUUGAAAAUUCUGUGGUAAUUACCUACCAGUGGAAGAGAUACUUGACUUAAGGAUGAGAAACAGCCUGCGUAAUCUUCUUAGUGCAAAGAAAUUGCUUAUGGGUAUACUCAGGAAAUAACUGCAUCCACUUCCACCACCACCACUCCCCCCACCCCUGAUCUUUAAUUACAGCAAAUGGCACUGCAGGAAUGGCAUGCUGAGGUGCCUUAGCGUAACAGUUUUGCCUGGCAAUAAAUAUCUCAUAUAUAUAUUUUUAAAAACAAGAAGCACAGAUAUAGCUGGCUUUUUACCACGGUGUUGGAUCUGUAUGGCUGCAAGGAAACGCAGGCAGUAGUGUAGGUGUUCAGGUUGGAGGUAUGUGGAGAUGCUGUUCCAGAAAUUGAAACUCUUGUUUCUCAGUAGGGCCUGGGAAAACAAGCAUGUCACCUUGUGACUGUGUCCUCGGGUAUGUACCACAGCCCAGUAUUAGGCACUGUAGGUAUAUCCAGUUUCAAAUGUGCAGGGAUAAUACCAGCCCUUUCUGCAUCUGCUGAAAUAAGGUUGUUUCCCACAAAAUGGCUAUUUUUGCAAAGGGGUGUUGAAAACCUCGUGUUCUGUGGUAACAGGCCCAUCAAAAAUGGGGAUGAAGAGCUGUGAGUGUUGAGAGGAAAAAUCAAAAUAAAUACCCAUUCUUUGUUUUACAGCAUUUCUGUUCCCAUCCAUGGGAGCAGGCAGGAGGACCUCAGGGUUUCCCAUCCUGGUGAAGGUGAGGUCACGGUGCUUGCAGGAUGCAUUAAAUGCAACCUCUCUGCCCCAUUAAAUGCAACAGGGACCAUUGGGAAGUCGGGCAUGCGAGGGGCUUGUGCAGUGCAGGAUGCUGGUGCUCAGCAUGGGAUGGUGCUGGCACCAGUGGAUGAAUUCAUCCCUGGCUUAUCAGAGCCCUCCCCUGCCUACGAACAGGGGAAGGGUCUCAACAGGCAGCACCCCCCUUCCCGCUGUCCCCAGCCCUGUGUGGGGCCAUCCUGCUUGUGUUUUCUAGCCGUGCCCUUGCUGACUUUUGUGGUGACGCAAAGCUGCUGCUUCAGAAUCCUCUGAUUCAUCCCCAUGGAGGGCUCACACCCAGGCCUGGGCUUCUUCUCCCUGUUGUUGAUCACACUGCCGGGGCUGGGCCCCUUGGUGGGUGCUGGGCCCCCCUGUCCUCCCACCAUGGGAAGGGGUGUGGGGUCUGCCAGAGCAGCCGUGGGCCCUUUCUCAGCAUAAAGGUGGAUGGGGUCAAAAAAGCAAUGAGGGAUGCCCAGGGACAGCCCCUGUGUGUUCAGUGUCCAGGGGUGCAUCUGUAGGAGACUGGGAUGUGGCUUUUGGGGAUGCCAACCUGCUUCCAUGGGCACUGGGUGCUUCCCCAGCCCCACGCUGAGCUCUGGGUCACUGCGGUUUUGCUUCCUAGCUCUGCCACCAAUCUGUGUGACCCCAGCUAAGAGCUCUUCCACCUCCUCUGCUCCUGCUUGUCAGCUGCCUCUUCUUUUGAGAACUUUGGGGUGGCAGAGGAAGACAAGGGGCUGCUGCUACCCAGGCUCCUCCGGUGCCAUCGCCUGGAUUGCAAAAUGGCUUUGGCAUGCUCAGACAGCUGGCACUGACCUACAGGUGACCUGUCUUACCACAUUUGAGCUGUAUCUGGUAUUUGGGAGCACGCAGGAAAGCAUCACCUUGGGCAUCGGUGCUUGGGGGAAACCUCAUUGCUGCAGCACGAGGAGGGGCAGUGCUGGUGGAGCUCUGCACGGGAUUUAGGGAGCUGGCAGGAGGGACGGCCAGGACUGUGCCAGCUCAGUGCACCCAUGUUGCAGUGAGCCCAGGAUAGCCUGGGUGAGAUGCUUUGGCAGAAGGUGGUGGCAGAACUGGAAGAGCAGGGCCACAGCAGAAGGUCAGGGUGAAGGUGUGGGUUUGGCACCUGGGAUCGGUGCCACCGGCGAGGGGGCUGGGGAGCGUUGCGGGUCAGUUUUUGAGGGCACCUGUGGAACCUUGUGGGAGAACUGGUAUGGCAGAAAGCCGUGCCUGAGUCAAACCGGCGAAGGAGGAUUGCUCUGGGCUCCUCCCAGCUCGCACCCUCCUCGGGAGAUGGGCUUCACAAUGCCCUGCGCCUGGGCACCCCCUGCUCUCUCCCCACUCCAGCACCGGUGACUGUUCCUCCUUCUCUCUCAGGAUUAAGGACUUUAUCACCUUCCAAGCUGCCUUCUUCUCCCCUUUAUCCACAGCAAGAUAAGCGUAACCAAACCGGACCUCGGGACGUGCUUUCAGUGUCUGUGUGUCCAAGUCGGCUGCACUGACAGUUCCCCCUUCGGGUCCUGCCCAGGACUGGCUUUCUUCAGCAGGAUCAGUGGGACUAAUUUUAAGGUGUCACCUCUCCUGGCAACCUCUGCUUCAGCUCCAGUCCUUGGGAGAUGCCCUCAAGGGAAAGCAGCCCUUGAUGCCUGCUUCCCCUGUGGCAAAUGUGGCCCUAGCCAUCCGCUGCUGCAGGAUUUUGGGUUCAGCUGCCUGCUCUUUCCCUGGAUCAUUGAGAUGGCUUUGCGUCCAGUUAAAUCCAUUUUUGCUCCUAAAAAUUUGAUACCUGAGUGAGAUUGCA